CACAGAACUUCUACCAACCCAUAUAUGAGUAGAAAGUCUUAAGGAAUUAUGUGACUUGAAGGACAUGGAAACUAAAGAACUUGCCGAAGUCACAUCUAAUAAGCAGAUACUAUAAGAUUUCAAGCAAUUAGUAAACAUUUAUUAAGCUCCUCCUAGUAUCAGACUCUAUGGUAAGUGUUGGGGAUACAAAAAAUCUGUAAAAGACAGUUCCUUCCCUCAAAGAUUUCAUAGUCUAAUGGGGGGGGACCAAAAGAAAACAAAUACAUACAAAUUAUAUUUAAAAAAGGAAAUUAUUAAAUGAAGGAACUUACUCGAAUGAGUAGGGGUUUGAGAGGAGUUGGGAAAGGUUUCCUAUAGGAAAUGAUAUUUUAUCUGGGACUUGUAGGAAGCUGGGAAGCUAAUAGGCAGAGAUGAAGAAUGGGAGUGUUCCAGGAAUAGAAUAUAUCUGGGGAAAACAUUCUGAGCUGAGAGAUAGAGUGUCUUAUUGAUGGAGGCAAGAAGGACUCCAUCUUGAAUUAAAGAGAACAUGAUUGGGAGGUACUCAUAACGCUGUGGCAAAGGGAUGAAAUACACACUUCAUAGAUAUGCCGGAAUGGAACUAAAGGAACCAUGUAGGUAAAGGACAGUGUAGAAAUAUCAAGGACAUGAUCUUGAUCAAAAUUAUGCAGUAACACAUUGAUGAAAUCUGAAGAAAAAAGAGAAUUGUAGCAAAAUGGGAGAACUGUACACAAAUUCUGCUUGGAACACAAAUGUAGAAUUUCUUCUUGCAUCUAAAGGCAGCAAGAUUGAAUUAUGGAUUAUUGAAAGAGCCAUGGAGAGAUGAAUAGUUGUUGAGUAGAUAUUACCAACAAAGACAUAGAUCUGGUACAAAUGAUAUUAUUUGAGAUGUCAAUUUCAUUUGGAAAAGGAGGAAAGCCAGUCUUGCAGUGAAUGAAAAGGAUAAAUGAUGUACAGGUUCCACUGGCAUCAAUGAAGUAGCGGAUGAUCUAGAGCCCCUCUCCUUGUUCAUUGCAUGGAACUCCUGUGGAAGAUUUAUUGGAGAACAUGGACACAAAUUCCAAAGGAUUUAAGGACAUAGAUAGGUUGUAGUCUGGAAGUGUGGGAGAGGUUGUGGUGAUCAUAGAUUGUCUGUAUGUGUCAUGCAAUGCAAUGAGUGUUAGGCAAUCAAAAUUAAAGGUAGUUUUACCCUCAA
rnacentral:lncRNA from 1 species